rnacentral:rRNA from 1 species
CAGUCGCCGCGGGAAUACGUAGGGUCCGAGCGUUGUCCGGAAUUACUGGGCGUAAAGCGCGCGUAGGUGGUUCGCCAAGUUGGAUGUGAAAUCCCCGGGCUCAACCUGGGAACUGCAUCCAAAACUGGCGAGCUAGAGUAUGGUAGAGGGUGGUGGAAUUUCCUGUGUAGCGGUGAAAUGCGUAGAGAUCUGGAGGAAUACCGAUGGCGAAGGCAGCCAUCUGGCCUAAUACUGACGCUGAGGUACGAAAGCAUGGGGAGCAAACAGGAUUAGAUACCCCCGUAGUCCCUGUCUCUUAUAC